GGCGGUUCGCCGCCUGUGACGUCGCGAGAAGUCCACUGAACCUUAUCAUUUAGAGGAAGGAGAAGUCGUAACAAGGUUUCCGUAGGUGAACCUGCGGAAGGAUCAUUGUUGUUGCCUUUCGAAAACACGACCGGUGCACGAGUAAAGAAACGCUGCCGGGGAGGGCAACCUCCUCGGCUCCACCGGCCCCGAACAGCUCUCGUCCUUCGGGGCGUGCUGGUCGUGGUGUCGGAACACGGCGCGGGUUGACGCCAAGGAAUACAUGUUUGCUGAGGCAGACGGCGAUGCUUCGGCGUCGCCCGAUCUGUCGAGGCCAAAGUAAUAAAAUGAGAUGACUCCCGGCAACGGAUAUCUCGGCUCUCGCAUCGAUGAAGAACGUAGCGAAAUGCGAUACAUGGUGUGAAUUGCAGAAUCCCGUGAACCAUCGAGUCUUUGAACGCAAGUUGCGCCCGAGGGACCAUCCCGAGGGCACGCCUGCCUCAUGGGCGUUAGAAGCCCAUCCACGCUCGGCGCACGUGCCUUGUAGGCCUGCUGCCCGAUGCGGACAAUGGCCCUCCGAGCCGCGAGGCGCGACGGGCACAAGUGCAUGGCCGUCGGUUGAGGCCGGGAGCGGCGAGUGGUGGGCUAACUGCGCGCGCUGCCUCCGAACCUCACGUCGACAUAAGGCCUAGUUGGACCUCGAAACGAGGAGUUUGUCGCCUAGCGCGGCAGAGCCUCGGACCGAUACCCCAGGUCAGGCGUGGCCACCCGCUGAGUUUAAGCAUAUAAAUAAG
rnacentral:rRNA from 1 species